rnacentral:rRNA from 1 species
GCUUAAUACAUGCCCNUUNAAAGGAGACAGUAGCAAUAUUGUCUUAGUGGCGAACGGGUGAGUAACGCGUUGGUGACCUGCCUCGAAGAGAGGGAUAACAGUUCGAAAGGAUUGCUAAUACCUCAUGUGGUUGCUUGGGUUAGAGACCUUGCAACUAAACGGAUUUAUUCGCUUCGAGAGGGGCCUGCGUCCCAUCAGCUAGUUGGUAGGGUAAUGGCCUACCAAGGCGAUGACGGGUAGGGGACCUGAGAGGGUGGCCCCCCACAAUGGAACUGAAACACGGUCCAUACACCUACGGGUGGCAGCAGUAGGGANUAUUGGUUAAUCUGGGAAACCGGGAACCAGCAACGCCGCGUGCGCGAUGAAGGCCUUCGGGUUGUAAAGCGCUUUUAGAGAGGAUGAGGAAGGACAGUACUCUCUGAAUAAGCCUCGGCUAACUACGUGCCAGCAGCCGCGGUAAAACGUAGGAGGCGAGCGUUAUCCGGAUUUACUGGGCGUAAAGCGCGUGUAGGCGGUUUGAUAAGUUGGAUGUGAAAGCUCCUGGCUUAACUGGGAGAGGUCGUUCAAAACUGUCAGACUUGAGAGUGGUAGAGGGAGGUGGAAUUCCGGGUGUAGUGGUGAAAUGCGUAGAUAUCCGGAGGAACACCAGUGGCGAAAGCGGCCUCCUGGACCAUUUCUGACGCUCAGACGCGAAAGCUAGGGUAGCAAACGGGAUUAGAGACCCCCGGUAGUCCUAGCUGUAAACGAUGUGAACUUGGCGUCGGUGGGUUCAAAUCCAUCGGUGCCGAAGCUAACGCGAUAAGUUCACCGCCUGGGGACUACGGCCGCAAGGUUAAAACUCAAAGGAAUUGACGGGGCCCCGCACAAGCAGCGGAGCGUGUGGUUUAAUUCGAUGCUACACGAAGAACCUUACCAGGGUUUGACAUGCAAGUGGUAGGAAACCGAAAGGUGACCGACCCUUCGGGGAGCUUGCACAGGUGCUGCAUGGCUGUCGUCAGCUCGUGUCGUGAGAUGUUCGGUUAAGUCCGCUAACGAGCGCAACCC